rnacentral:rRNA from 1 species
UACGUAGGGACCAAGCGUUGUUCGGAUUUACUGGGCGUAAAGGGCGCGUAGGCGGCAAUUCAAGUCAGUUGUGAAAUCUCCGAGCUUAACUCGGAACGGUCAACUGAUACUGUUUUGCUAGAGUGCAGAAAGGGCAACCGGAAUUCUUGGUGUAGCGGUGAAAUGCGUAGAUAUCAUUUGGAACGCCAAUGGUGAAAACAGGUAGCUGGGAGUGUGCUGACGCUGAGACACGAAAGCCAGGGGAGCAAACGGG